AGCAGCUGCGGUAAUUCCAGCUCCAAUAGCGUAUAUUAAAGUUGUUGCAGUUAAAAAGCUCGUAGUUGAAUUUCGGGAUCAAUGUUUCGGUCAUGCCGUUGGUAUGUACUGAUAUUAUUGAUUUCUCACCUUCUAAAGAACCGUAAUGCCAUUAAUUUGGUGUCACGGGGAAUUAGGACUGUUACCUUGAAAAAAUUAGAGUGUUUAAAGCAGGCUCACGCUUGAAUACAUUAGCAUGGAAUAAUGAAAUAGGACAUCCGAUUCUAUUUUGUUGGUUUCUAGGAUCGAUGUAAUGAUUAAUAGGGAUAGUUGGGGGCAUUAGUAUUCAAUUGUCAGAGGUGAAAUUCUUGGAUUUAUUGAAGACUAACUACUGCGAAAGCAUUUGCCAAGGAUGUUUUCAUUAAUCAAGAACGAAAGUUAGGGGAUCGAAGACGAUCAGAUACCGUCGUAGUCUUAACCAUAAACUAUGCCGACUAGGGAUCGGAUGAUGUUAAUUUUUUAAUGACUCA
rnacentral:rRNA from 1 species